rnacentral:rRNA from 1 species
GAUGAACGCUGGCGGCGUGCCUAAUACAUGCAAGUCGAGCGAACAGAUGAGGAGCUUGCUCCUCUGACGUUAGCGGCGGACGGGUGAGUAACACGUGGAUAACCUACCUAUAAGACUGGGAUACCUUCGGGAAACCGGAGCUAAUACCGGAUAAUAUAUUGAACCGCAUGGUUCAAUAGUGAAAGACGGUUUUGCUGUCACUUAUAGAUGGAUCCGCGCCGCAUUAGCUAGUUGGUAAGGUAACGGCUUACCAAGGCAAGGAUGCGUAGCCGACCUGAGAGGGUGAUCGGCCACACUGGAACUGAGACACGGUCCAGACUCCUACGGGAGGCAGCAGUAGGGAAUCUUCCGCAAUGGGCGAGAGCCUGACGGAGCAACGCCGCGUGAGUGAUGAAGGUCUUCGGAUCGGAAAGCUCUGUUGGUAGGGAAGAACAAAUGUGUAAGUAACUAUGCACGUCUUGACGGUACCGAAUCAGAAAGCCACGGCUAACUACGUG